AGCUGGUUCUAUCGGCCAUGGCAGCCAUGGCCGAUGCGCAGCAAGUUGCUGCGAUGGCGGCAGCAGUUGCGGCUGAGGGCGGUGGUGCGUGGCGCCCGGGUCCGAGAGGCCGAGGCGGCCGGCGGCGGAGGGCCGAGUGGCAGUUCGCGGUGGCGGCCGCGGCGGCUGGAGCGCGCGGGAGCUGCAGGCGCGGUGCAGAGGAAGAAGAAGGAGGAGAAGGGAAAAAGAAAAAGAAGAAAGAAAAGAAAAAGAAAGAAAAAGAAAAGAAAGAAAAGAAAAGAAAGAAAAGGAAGAAAAAAAGAAAAGGAAAUUGGGAAAAAUGUUGAAAAGUUCUAGAAAAAUUUUGAAAAUUAGGAAAUGAAGAUGUAAUGAUAUCCUGAAGAUUUUAGUGAGAAAAACAGCCCGGGCACGCGUUUCAAGGAUUAGAGCACGCAUACCGAAGAAACUGGAGAUGCUAAGUUAAGGAUACGUUGAGGCUGAAUUGAAGAGACUCGCGCAAAUUUUGAGGUUGGCACGCAAAUCGAGGCAAGAAUUUCGAGGUAGCCCGAUAAACUCUAAAAGGUAAGUGGUACUUCCUCGAAAUGUUUUCAUCAUAUUGACAUGCCCUGAUAUGUAACCAUCACGUAGACCGCAUACAUGUCUAUGAAAUGCAUAAGCACACGUUGAUAUUAUUGAUCACACGCAUAUGAGGCCGUAGGGGGUACGAACUGGCACCGCUGCCUUACCAAGGGUGCACCCAUACACCCCGGCUUCGAAAGAGGUGGCCGCUAAAAUGGUAGGUAGCAUGAGGGGUGCAGUUGACACCUACGAUGAAAGACAUUGCAUACAUUCAUGACAUAGCAUUAUGUACCCUUACUUAGAUGGUUCAUCAUCUAACUUGGGUUCGCCCCUGGAACAUUCAACGUUCCAAUCGGGACUUGCAGAGAUGAUUCCGAGAAUGGUGAUAUGUAGUAACGUGAGACGUCAAGAAGCGAGUAAAUGUAUCAUGUUAUGUUGUAAUAUGAGUAGUUUAAGAAUUAUGUACAUUGUAUUGUCAGACGCUUAUGAAUUAACUUUGUAAUGAAUAUCAUGUCUAGUUAUUAUUAUAUGAGCAGGUUCGAUUCA